rnacentral:rRNA from 1 species
UACGUAGGCAGCGAGCGUUGUUCGGAGUUACUGGGCGUAAAGAGUGCGUAGGCGGUUUUCUAAGUUUGGUGUGAAAUCUCCCGGCUCAACUGGGAGGGUGCGCCGAAGACUGGAAGGCUCAGAGUGUGGGAGAGGUAAGCGGAAUUCCUGGUGUAGCGGUGAAAUGCGUAGAUAUCAGGAGGAACACCUGCGGUGUAGACGGCUUACUGGACCAUAACUGACGCUGAGGCACGAAAGCGUGGGUAGCAAACAGG